rnacentral:rRNA from 1 species
CCUACGGGCGGCAGCAGUGGGGGAUAUUGCACAAUGGGGGGAACCCUGAUGCAGCGACGCCUCGUGGGUGAAGGAGCGUUUCGGCGCGUAAAGCCCCAUCGGCAGGGAAGAAGAUGACGGUACCUGACCACGAAGCCCCGGCUAACUACGUGCCAGCAGCCGCGGUAAUACGGAGUAUGCGAGCGUUAUCCGGAUUAAUGGGGUUUAAAGGGUGCGCAGGCGGCUGGUGAAGUGAGCGGGAAAAGGUCGGUGCUCAACCCCGGCCGGCCGUUGAAACUGGCGUGCUCGAGUUGGAGAGAAGUAUGCGGAAUGCGUGGUGUAGCGGUGAAAUGCAUAGAGAUCACGAAGAACCCCGAUUGCGAAGGCAGCAUACCGGCUCCACACUGACGCUGAGGCACGAAAGCGUGGGUAUCGAACAGGAUUAGAUACCCGGGUAGUC